rnacentral:rRNA from 1 species
UACGUAGGGUGCGAGCGUUAAUCGGAUUACUGGGCGUAAAGCGUGCGUAGGCGGUUCGUUAAGUUCGUUGUGAAAGCCCCGGGCUCAACCUGGGAACUGCAAUGGAAACUGGCGGGCUUGAGUGUGGCAGAGGGGGGUGGAAUUCCGCGUGUAGCAGUGGAAUGCGCAGGAUAUCAGGAGGAACACCAAUAGCGAAGGCAGCUCGCUGGGACGGUACUGACGCGUGAGGCGCGAAAGCGUGGGGAGCGAACAGG